AAAGGUGUGAAAAGAAGAUCGGAUUAAGAGACGAGACCGGAAAAACUGAAUGAAAAAAUAAAGAGAUGAGCAAAUAUAAAGAAUUGGAGGAGGAGAGGGGGAGGUGUGAUUCGAUGAUCUUGGUGUGGUGAUGCCUGAUGAACUGGUCG
ensembl:ncRNA ZC21.12 ncRNA